GUGAAUUUUGUCUUCCAUCUAAACCAACAGUUUUAAACUUAAGAACUAACAUGCUUCCUUUCUUAUUCAGGUUCCAUAACUUCCUUUCCACAAGGCGACGUGCGACUUAUGUCUAACUUAACUGGGCUGAAGGGAAAUAUCUUUGGGUAAACAAGUGAAGAGAAGAGAUCUGAAGAGGCUGACAAAAAGGACAAAUGAAGCGGCAUAGUCAACUGUCAUUAAAGGAAAAUCAGAUUGAGGGCUGUACGGCAAACCCAGCCAAAGCUACACCUUCCACAGAUGAGGGAACCAGGAGACAAGGAACUUGCCACAGGUCACACAGCAACUGAUUCAUAGAAGAGCCAGACAAGAGCGGAGUCAUUUUGGAAGAGAAUAUCCCCUGCACAGCAAGCUUUACAAAAUGAUCAUCCCUUGUGGAAUGCAAACAAAAUGGCCACCAUUUAUUAAUGUUCACAAGAGUUAUUAUUA
rnacentral:lncRNA from 1 species